AGAGAGAUGGAGUUUGUUGGUUGUGCUGUGAGGAGCUGACCAUGAGAAAUCACUGAGAAGAGUAAACAGGCUCUUCUGAUUCUGCUGUUUAGUUUGGUCAAAAAGUAUUACUAACCUUCCGCAGCAUGAUAUUUACAUAGAAGGAAUGCAAGCUCUUGUCCAGCUCAAGUGAUUUUUAUGGUCCAAUGAGUAACAAGACAUUAGUCACCAGAAAUCUUUUGAUCUCAUUUAUUUUUACCUUCUUUUCUGCUAAUAAGUGUAUUAUUCUGGUUAUGAACUGCCUACUCUUUACUCAGAAAAAGUCAGCUUCCUGGAAAAAUCUGCCAAAUGUAAUUCACUUUCAGCUUGAUACCUUGGAAAUUAAAACAAAUUAAUGGUGUGUUGACUUGGACAUAAGUUUGCAAAACAGGAGCCACUUCAAAGCUACUCUUCUGACUUUUCAGCAAGCACAGAAAUAUGGAAGCAAGGGCUUUGUAUAUAUUGGGCAGAGGAAACACUUGAACUUCUCCAUCCUCAGGCCCCUGAUGUGGGACCUCCAGGCCAUUUAGAUGUGAAUCACCUCAGACCUUUUCCAGCUGAGCAACAAAGCCCAUCUGGCCCAGACAACACUGGCUGUUGUAGGAACAGCACAAUGGUUUUGCAACAUGAACAAAGUAUAAAGAGGGACAGGUUGCAAAUUCCUUGGAGAUGACACAGGGGAAGACCUUUCCACUUAUGUGAGUGUUGAACAGGCUACUUGCAUAACCCAUACUCCCAGGACCUCUGCUGGAACAAGGAUCUGGAAUCAGCAUCCUGCCAUGUUAGCAGAUGGACAUGAGUAAGGCAGCCAAGAGAGCAGAGAAAAAGGGACGCUUACAGGGAGAUCACAUAAAGGGAGUUCAUCCCAACUGGAGGAUGCAGGCAGCUGCUAACAAGUUUGUUGAAUGCAGUGGAGAGACAUAAUUAUAAUAUGACUGUACACAGGCAAGGAACUGGGAUUAAGACCUCAGCAACAGCAAAGCAGGUUUUACAGUAUGAAUCACCAGCAGGCAACUACUGUUGUUUAUGAAAGCAGGUUCAUUACCCUCUGCAGGCAACGCUGUGUCUUGUCACGAGAUGAGGCUGAAGCUGGCAUAUUAUCCUUGCUGGGACCACGUGCAGCUCUGUACUGCUACUCAGCACGAACAGAUCUAUCAGAAUCUCUCUCUAAACCAGCAGAAAAAUGCAUGAAAUUUGCCACUUCCAAAAGCUCAACUCUGCAGUACAACAGAAUAUUGUUGAGGGCUUCUAACUCUGCACUGCAAAUAAAAUGGCAGAAUUAUUCUGUUUGCCAACAGGUAGUGCCCAAUCUGCCUAUUUUCCAGUUGGAUGCUAUUUAAGGAUAAUAUAAACUGCUCUCCUGCUGCAGUAAUAGUACAUUGUAAUAAAAUUGUAAGUUCUGCUGCUGAAA